rnacentral:rRNA from 1 species
GGCGAAGGCGGGUCUCUGGGCCGAUACUGACGCUGAGGAGCGAAAGCGUGGGGAGCGAACAGGAUUAGAUACCCUGGUAGUCCACGCCGUAAACGUUGGGCGCUAGGUGUGGGGGCCAUUCCACGGUCUCUGUGCCGCAGCUAACGCAUUAAGCGCCCCGCCUGGGGAGUACGGCCGCAAGGCUAAAACUCAAAGGAAUUGACGGGGGCCCGCACAAGCGGCGGAGCAUGNUGGAUUAAUUCGAUGCAACGCGAAGAACCUUACCUGGGUUUGACAUGCACAGGACGCUGGUAGAGAUNUNANNUCCCUNNUNGGCCU